rnacentral:misc_RNA from 1 species
AGACAUCGUCACAAUGUCGUCUACGUACAUUUUAACAUUUUAUAUAUUUUUUGGGGCACUGAAUUCGUUUUCAGCUGCAGAAAAUAAUGCAAAUGAUGCAUAGCUCGGGACGAGUUUGAACAGAUGAAGAAUGUGAUGAAGAUGUUACAGGAGAAAGUUCAAAUACAAGAAGCCAGAAUUGUGGACCUCGAAAAGGAAAUCAAGGAAUUGAAAAAUGGGAACGAAGAGUCGAGCAAACGGACAAUGACGGAGAGUCGAAGACAGGAGGAAGAAGCAAAGCAACUGCAAUUCCGCUCACCCAAACACCAGAAAAGCGAGGCAAUUGAUGUACAUGAGGACGGUGUCAAACAGGAGAGGCCACGUAUGUUAAUUGCAUGAUACAUAUGCUUGCAUAUUAAUUUUGUAAUUUUCGGUUUGUUAUCAUAACUUAUAUAUAUGAAGUGGCUAUGAUAAAUGCUUUUGUGAGAAUUUAUUAGUAAUAUUCACCAACUUUCAUUCAUCCAUCUAACCAUUCAUGCGACAGUUAGAGAAGCGUUUUAAAAGGACUUGGACACGAUUUGAGAUCAAAAAUUUUAAAUUUAUUUGUUUAUGUAUAAAAUGGAUUACUGGUGCAUUUUAAAUGAUUGACCAAGAUAUUGAAUGUUAAAGUCAGGUUACAAGCGAGAUACAAAAAUAAGGAUUGGUUGUUAUGUAAACAAAGCUCGAGUCUUUUACUAGUAGUUGUUUACAAAAUAUGUAAUGUAAAACAUUACCACUUCUAAGAAAAAUGUCAUGUAAAAACAAUUUAAACUAACUAAAUAUCUUCAUAAAUACUAGUAUCAACUAAAGAAAGAUACAUUUGAUUAAAACUUACACCAAUACAACACAUGUAAAAAAUGACAAUAUUCGAGCUUUGUUUACAAAACAAAGAAUUCUGAACUCUGUUUCUUGCUUAUAACUUGAUAUUUGACUUUCAUAUUUUAACAUAGCAUUAACAACUUCCAAAUUUAUCAGUAAAACAUUGAAAAUGAAAAAUAAAAUUUUAAAAUUUUAAAUCGUGUACAAGUUCCUUUAAGAAAAUUUCAAUUUCAGAAGAGUUUAAGAAUUAUCAUAGGAGAAUAUAAUGAUUGUUUAUAGAAAUUCGAAUUGUCCCUGCACCUACCGAGAGCGUGAUAGCGUUCUAUGCUUACAUGACUACAACAGAGAAUAACCCCGGUACUCACCAUACCAUCAUAUACGACCACGCGGUUACUAAUAUUGGAAACGGAUACAACCGACAUUCCGGAACGUUCAUCGUUCCUGUUGAUGGCGUUUAGAUCUUCUCGUGGACCAUAAUUAUGUCCGUUCCUGGUGAAUACAUGUCGAUUGAGUUGACGCUAAACAGCCAGCCUGUUGGAGCUUCUUUUGUUGAGGGUGUGCAUCACCAUUCAGCAGUUUCUGGUACGACUGUACUUUCUAUGCAGAAGAACGACAUUGUGUUUACAAGAACCCAUACGACCAACGUUCCUCGUGGUUCUAUCCGCAGUGAUGAUUUGAUGCGAUCCACGUUCACUGGAUGGUAUCUUUCCUGUCAUUAGACAAUUUUUUUUCCAUAUAUUUUAUAUUUGCUUUGUUCGAAAUCUUCUACCCCAUCUGACAUACAUGUAUUGCAAUAAACUGUAUCUGAUGACUC